AUUGAACGCUGGCGGCAGGCCUAACACAUGCAAGUCGAACGGUAACAGGAAGAGGCUUGCUUCUUUGCUGACGAGUGGCGGACGGGUGUGUAAUGUCUGUGACACUGCCUGAUGGCGGGGGAUAACUACUGGAAACGGUAGCUAAUACGGCAUAACGUCUCAAGACCAAAGAGGGGGACCUUCGGGCCUCUUGCCAUUGGCUGAGCCCAGAUGGGAUUAGCUAGUAGGUGGGGUAACGGCUCACCUAGGCGACGAUCCCUAGCUGGUCUGAGAGGAUGACCAGCCACACUGGAACUGAGACACGGUCCAGACUCCUACGGGAGGCAGCAGUGGGGAAUAUUGCACAAUGGGCGCAAGCCUGAUGCAGCCAUGCCGCGUGUAUGAAGAAGGUCUUCGGGUUGUAAAGUACUUUCAGCGGGGAGGAAGGGAGUAAAGUUAAUACCUUUGCUCAUUGACGUUACCCGCAGAAGAAGCACCGGCUAACUCCGUG
rnacentral:rRNA from 1 species